rnacentral:rRNA from 1 species
GUGUAUGGCCAUACCACCCUGUACGUACCUGAUCUUUUCCAAUCUUGGAAGCUAAGCAGGGUUGGGCCUGGAUAUCACUUGGAAAGGAGAAUUUGCUGGUGUAGACU